rnacentral:lncRNA from 1 species
CUGCACAAUGGAUGGAAGUAACUUGUUAGCCAAAACCGAAUCUAAAAUUGAGAGUGAAGACUUACCAGAAUGUGAUGUCAAUGACUCGAGGGCCGCGACCAUUUCAAACACUUCACCACAAGGGGGCACGGCAAUAUGGUCAGAUUCCAUGUCGUGGGUUGCUUGGAUUCCCCCACACUUGUUUCUUGCUCCUAUGCCGUGUACUAAGGCUAUUUCAAGUGCAUCGUCGUUCAUUCGAUCCAAAUGUACCUGUGCCAAAGAAUCAACAAUGUCAA